rnacentral:lncRNA from 1 species
AAUAGAAUUAAACAUCGGUUAGACAUUUUUGUCCAUUGUAGAGAAUCUAUGAUCUAUAUUAGGCUAAGCAGAUAAAAUAUAGAUAGAUAAUAGUUGUCUGCCCUAAAAUUCAGCAGCACUCACUUUCAAUUCAAUUGGAUUUGGGGAAGCAACCUAUUCACCUAUUUUUUUUGUUUUUUGUUUUUUUAUUCAUUUUAUGAUAUUUCUUCUCUAAAUAGACCACUCAACG